ACCUGUGAUUUUUUUCCCCAUAUAUUUUGCCUUGUUCUCAGUCUUGCACGUUUCUGGUUUUGUCAUAGUAAGUGAAAAAAAGGAGUGCUUAGUUAUAGAGGUGUAUUCCUUAAUCCAUUUCCUUUUCAACCAGUGUUAUUGGAAGAGAAGCAGUGAAAGACUGCUUUGGUGUGGAGGAGGUAGAUUUAACCGAGUGAGACAGAACCCACCUGUGUGCACACUGCAAUGGCUGAAACCAGGUAAGACAGUGAAGUCUUUAACUGCUCCAGAAGAAGCGGGUCUUGAAAGAAAAUGUCUCUGGCAAAAAAGUACCAGGCACAUGAUACUGCAGAGACUCAAAGUCAGAAGUAAAUCAGCUGGACAGUUGCCUCCUGCCUUCCUAAACAGGCAAACACAUUAGAAACAGAAAAAGGGGCCUACCUACCUCAUUCCUGUAAGUACCUAUAAACACCCCCUCCACCCCUCAAAUCAGCAUCAGCCAGGUAGUUUGGAAUGCUGAGCAUAAGGAUGUGGUGAGGAAAACAAAAAUUCUAAUUUAUUUUCUUGCUGACAACAAUUAAGUGUAGCCAACCAAAGAAACCAACUAAAAUUAUUAACAGGCUACUAGCAUGCCUAUGGCCUGUGGCUACACAGAGCUGCUGGAUGAUGCAUUGUUACUCUUUACAUGAACCUAAAGCUUGGAUGCUGCUUAAGUUCCUAAAACCAUCCAUAUCAUUAAACUGGUGCUGCAGUUGAUGUGUCUCUGCAGAAGCUGUUUGGGGCUGAUUUCUUUGCUUUUGUAUUUCUUAGCAGUUCAUUCUGUAGUAACGUGGUGCAACCCAUUGUGAGGGUUGAACAGAAGUUCCCCAGAGUGGCCCCCUUGGCCAGGGCAGUGAACAGAACAAUGUUUUCUGAAUAGCUGCUGUGUAGCUGAUAUUUACCUGCUCUGAGCUGCCUUUUCCUUGCUGG
rnacentral:lncRNA from 1 species